UGGGGGAUCUUCGGCAAUGGGGGCAACCCUGACCGAGCCAUGCCGCGUGAGCGAUGAAGGCCUUAGGGUUGUAAAGCUCUUUCGCCAGGGAUGAUAAUGACAGUACCUGGUAAAGAAACCCCGGCUAACUCCGUGCCAGCAGCCGCGGUAAUACGGAGGGGGUUAGCGUUGUUCGGAAUUACUGGGCGUAGAGCGCGCGUAGGCGGAUUGGAAAGUUGGGGGUGAAAUCCCAGGGCUCAACCCUGGAACUGCCUCCAAAACUGCCAGUCUUGAGUUCGAGAGAGGUGAGUGGAAUUCCGAGUGUAGAGGUGAAAUUCGUAGAUAUUCGGAGGAACACCAGUGGCGAAGGCGGCUCACUGGCUCGAUACUGACGCUGAGGUGCGAAAGCGUGGGGAGCAAACAGGAUUAGAAACCCCUGUAGUCC
rnacentral:rRNA from 1 species